GCUGGCGGCGUGCCUAAUACAUGCAAGUCGAGCGCGGGAAGCAAGCUGAUCCUCUUCGGAGGUGACGCUUGUGGAACGAGCGGCGGACGGGUGAGUAACACGUGGGCAACCUGCCUGUAAGACUGGGAUAACCCCGGGAAACCGGGGCUAAUACCGGAUAAUACUUUUCAUCACCUGAUGAGAAGUUGAAAGGUGGCUUUUAGCUACCACUUACAGAUGGGCCCGCGGCGCAUUAGCUAGUUGGUGAGGUAACGGCUCACCAAGGCAACGAUGCGUAGCCGACCUGAGAGGGUGAUCGGCCACACUGGGACUGAGACACGGCCCAGACUCCUACGGGAGGCAGCAGUAGGGAAUCUUCCGCAAUGGACGAAAGUCUGACGGAGCAACGCCGCGUGAGUGAUGAAGGUUUUCGGAUCGUAAAGCUCUGUUGUUAGGGAAGAACAAGUGCCGUUCGAAUAGGGCGGCACCUUGACGGUACCUAACCAGAAAGCCCCGGCUAACUACGUGCCAGCAGCCGCGGUAAUACGUAGGGGGCAAGCGUUGUCCGGAAUUAUUGGGCGUAAAGCGCGCGCAGGCGGUCCUUUAAGUCUGAUGUGAAAGCCCACGGCUCAGCCGUGGAGGGUCAUUGGAAACUGGAGGACUUGAGUACAGAAGAGGAGAGUGGAAUUCCACGUGUAGCGGUGAAAUGCGUAUAGAUGUGU
rnacentral:rRNA from 1 species